rnacentral:rRNA from 1 species
CCCAGACUCCUACGGGAGGCAGCAGUGGGGGAUAUUGCACAAUGGGGGGAACCCUGAUGCAGCGACGCCGCGUGGGUGAAGGAGCGUUUCGGCGCGUAAAGCCCUCUCGGCAGGGAAGAAGGAGGACGGUACCUGACUAAGAAGCCCCGGCUAACUACGUGCCAGCAGCCGCGGUAAUACGUAGGGGGCAAGCGUUAUCCGGAUUUACUGGGUGUAAAGGGAGCGUAGACGGCAGUGCAAGUCCGGAGUGAAAGCCCGGGGCUCAACCCUGGGACUGCUCUGGAAACUGUAAAGCUGGAGUGUCGGAGAGGCAGGCGGAAUUCCUAGUGUAGCGGUGAAAUGCGUAGAUAUUAGGAGGAACACCAGUGGCGAAGGCGGCCUGCUGGACGAUGACUGACGCUGAGGCUCGAAAGCGUGGGGAGCAAACAGGAUUAGAUACCCUCGUAGG